ACAUUCCGAAGUUCUGUGAAAAGAGGCACUAGCGCUCAGCCACGCAAGGCAGGAAAACAGAGGAAGUUUUCGCAUUCUGACUGCAGCCUGAGUUCCCCGGAGCAAGGCUGCUUCUCUCCACCCACUCCUCACCAAGAACUCCUGAACUUGAGAGUGGACGACUUCAAAGCUAGCUCCCACAGACUCACCUGGAAAAGAGUUCAGCUGCGCGUUCAUUGAACCGAGAGGCCAGAUCACCUAUGUGAGGCGGUGGGAACCAUAUGGAGAUUUAUAUUAGAACUUCAGCAAAGUGCACAGCUGCAGCCGGCAGAAGCCAGCUCUCGGGCUGACAGGCAAAUGAACCAGAUCGUGGACGGGGCCUCUGGGUGGCAGCUCCGGCCUUUUGGUUGUUGGACAACUAUAGUCAGAACUGAAAUGGAACAGGGGCAGGAGAAAUAACACACUUUUACUCCACGCAACUGUUGCUUUCACAUGAUCUUCAGGAAUGUAACUGGGAUAAUUGUCCAAAUUGAAUCCCAUACCCUGUCAUGGUACUGAUUAUUAAGGUGACUAUAUGAAAGGAUCACUCCAAAAUAACACAUACCAGAAUAGGAGUCCUGUCUUAACUGAGCAAUAUACACUAUGGAGAGAUCCUUCAAAACCCGUCGGGACGAAUAACAGAUGAAUUCAUAAAACUGUUCAUCUCUGUUAUCCUGAAUGGUCACUCAGACAACAUUUUACUCAACUAUAAAGGCAUUUGAACUGGUCGGACAGGACGACAGAGCAGUGAGCAUGAGAUCAUUGCAGCCGAGUAGCAAACUGGCACCCAGCCUUUUCACCCCUUCGGUUCGGGAGACGAACGUGUGCAGUCCUCGUUUCUCAAGUCAGCCUGGAAGGAUUCCGGGACUCUCCCACCUUCUACCAUUCUGCUGCCAGUCGGUGGCAACGAUUGGUGCAGAUUCUGCGCAGUGCUUUGUGCCUGGAAUAUGGAGAAGGAAGAGAAUGAAGACAAGCCCUCUGGACCUCCUUCUCUGAGAAAUACCGGGAGCCCAGAAG
ensembl:processed_transcript